rnacentral:misc_RNA from 1 species
GAUGAAGAACGUAGCGAAAUGCGAUACGUAAUGUGAAUUGCAGAAUUCAGUGAAUCAUCGAGUCUUUGAACGCACAUUGCGCCCCCUGGUAUUCCGGGGGGCAUGCCUGUCCGAGCGUCAUUGCUGCCCUCAAGCACGGCUUGUGUGUUGGGCCUCCGUCCUCCUCCCGGGGGACGGGCCCGAAAGGCAGCGGCGGCACCGCGUCCGGUCCUCGAGCGUAUGGGGCUUCGUCACCCGCUCUUGUAGGCCCGGCCGGCGCUUCCCGACACAUCAAUCUUUUUUCCAGGUUGACCUCGGAUCAGGUAGGGAUACCCGCUGAACUUAAGCAUAUCAAUAAGCGGAGGA